rnacentral:sRNA from 1 species
GUGCAGUGCCUUUCAGGCAUCCUCUCCUAAAGACUUUCCAAGCCGGCCCUUGUGGCCGGCUUUUUUUCAGCGUUCC